GGCGUUCCCACGGUGACGGUAACCACAACCCCUCCCCUUGCCUUGAAAAAGCCUUUGGGAGAGCAGCGACUAGUCGCUGCCCACCAGGUGCAGGGAGGAGCAACCAGCUUGUGUAGUGGGGUGUUGUGGACAGAAGAUGACCAGGUUGGUCGUGUCUCAUGGUAAAAGAGCAAAGUCCAGAGGACAUCCCUGGAAGUGACCUACAGCAAUUAUCGACCAAACAAUUCCUUCCUGCUCUCCUUCCCAGUCAUAAUUCUCUGCAAGGACAGGCAUACACCUUGGGAAAAUCAAACAUUCAAGGAUCAGAAACCCACAUGUGCUUUGCAGGCCUUGAAGAGAUGCUUAGCUAUGAAGGUCAAAGCAUGGCGAACACUUCAAGGCACUUUCUUCCGCUAGGUACGUGAUCUGAGCAAGACAACACUGAAAGAAAAGAUAAGUCUUUCAGGAAUGCUUUCAGCUGCCACUUUAAAAACAACAAUAAUACUUAUCUGGAUAUUAUUAUUAUUAUUAUUGUUGUUGUUGUUGUUGUUACUAGAAAUAUUUUGAGAGUGAAAGAAACAUUUUUCAAGACAGUUUUUCUUUUAAAAGCAUAAAAACUUUUUAAAAAAAUUGUUGACAGAGAAAAGUCUAUGUUGCCAGACUUGUGACAGUAAUCAUAGAAUCACAGAAUCAUUUCAGUUGCAAGGGACCCCCAAGAUCAUUGAGUCCAAACAUGUUGCAUUCUUUUAAAAAUAUAGAAGCCUGCUGAAGUAUAGAUACUUUCAGUGGCCAUGAGGAGGCUUAUAUAGAAAGUCAAGCAAUAUAUAUAUGCAGGGGAGGGCAUAGCCUCUCUGAGGAAAAGAAAUUCAGACUAUGUGUGUGCAUACAGGUAGCCCCAAUCUUGAGCUCACAUGCUCACCCACACUUUAAUUGCAUGUUUGCCCUAGGGAGGCAGGCUCACACAUGCCACACAGGUAGCAGGGCUCCAUCGACCUCUCUCUGACUUUGAAACUGCUAUUACAAAUAGUAUGGAGAAAAUCUUCACAUAUAGAGUUAGGUUUUGGAGACAAUCUGAUUGGAGGUGACCUGCUCAGCUUGUGGCUUCAGGCCUCAGUGGGAAGCAAAAAGGUUAAUAUGAUAAAAUAGAAAUGCAUAUCCAGUGUGCAUUUGGGAUUCCUCUGCAUUAACCAUUGCAGCCUGCAAAUUCAACACCCUUUCUGCACACCUGCUGUGCCAUAGCGGUGGUUGUCAUUUCUCCCACAUUUUCUCCAUUAGCUUUCCAUAACAUUGCACUUGGCAGUACAGCCUAUGACUUACUCAAUCUUGGUGCUUUCUGAGCAGAAUUUUGUCUAUGUUCCGCUGUAGUAAAGAACCAUCUUUGCUCUAGCCAGGCUACAUAGAUGUGCAUUCAGAUCUUAUCCACAUUCCAAGGUACAGGCUGCCAGGGCUUAGUGCCGAUGCCUAUACAACAAAGCUAAUACACAUUUUGAAAACAAACUCCAGUCUUGCAGUUUCCCCACCUUGACCCUUCUUUGGAAGGAAACCCUCUCCUUGAGUUUAAGGAACAGUGUGCAAAUAGUCAUCUCAAGAAUGAGGCUGCAGAGAGCACCCAAGGGAUGAGAAACAGCUUUCCUCCUCAUGAAAGCCAUGUGCUGGUGCACUACGUGUGACAGCCACUUCCCCAGGCAGCUCUGCCAACACACCUUUCAUCUGGCUCGCACGUUCUUUCAGUGCUUGUGCCUGAUUUUAAUGAGCAGCCGGGGGUUGCGCAGGCUGGUGCCAGGCUGGGCUGGUUUUGUAACGGCUGAGUUACAGCUGAAUGUGUGCCUAGAGAUGAAUGGGACCCCUGGAUUGUGCAGUUUUUGCAGAAGAAAGUUCUCCAAUUACAUUCCCCUCAU